GAUGAACGCUGGCGGCGUGCUUAACACAUGCAAGUCGAACGAUGAAGCCCAGCUUGCUGGGUGGAUUAGUGGCGAACGGGUGAGUAACACAUGAGUAACCUGCCCUUAACUCUGUGAUAAGCCUGGGAAACUGGGUCUAAUACCGGAUAGGAGCGUCCACCGCAUGGUGGGUGUUGGAAAGAUUUAUCGGUUUUGGAUGGACUCGCGGCCUAUCAGCUUGUUGGUGAGGGAAUGGCUCACCAAGGCGACGACGGGUAGCCGGCCUGAGAGGGUGACCGGCCACACUGGGACUGAGACACGGCCCAGACUCCUACGGGAGGCAGCAGUGGGGAAUAUUGCACAAUGGGCGCAAGCCUGAUGCAGCGACGCCGCGUGAGGGAUGACGGCCUUCGGGUUGUAAACCUCUUUCAGUAGGGAAGAAGCGAAAGUGACGGUACCUGCAGAAGAAGCACCGGCUAACUACGUG
rnacentral:rRNA from 1 species